UACAACUUGUUCACUCAAGGUCACAUGGUCAUUUCGGCUAUACACGUUUAUCAAGUGUACACGUGCAAUAUGCAUAUACAAAUAACAAAUAUGUUAAAAAGAUAUCGAUGAACACCCUUCAAACACACAAAAUAAUAUAGUUUUUACGAUUUGCUAAAAAAAAUUAGUUUGGUAAGAGCUGCAAACAUCGGCAUUUACACGAUUUCACCCAAAAGCAUGAACACUCACCGAGUAUCCAGCCGGCCAUUAACCGACAUAUCAUUGAAACUGAUUAAAUAAAAAUAGAAACGACUAUAAUCAAAACACUUAAACCCUUUAAAAUGCAAUUUAAAGAAUACUUUCUAGAUUAUUCAAAUUAACACGUGUCACAUCCACCUGGAAAUAAGCUAUUUGAUUCAAUUACAGCCGCUUCAUGAUCUAUUAUCAAAUACUGGUGGGGACUUAAGAAUCCCUUUUAAAUAUAUGUACAAACAAAUCACUUGAUUUACUCCAAUAUAUGAAAUGAAAAUAAAAACUAAAGAAAUAAAUUAUAAACAGGCCACUUAACCAAAAGUUGGCGUCAUCGGCCACCGCAUAAACCAACACAUACAAAAUCCGGCGAAAGCAAGCACUAUAUGUGUAUUCUCGUAUGUAUACAUAUGCGCAACGAUGUACAGAAAUUGCACUGGGGCCCCGCCAUUCGCAACUACCUACAUAUCACAUAUCCACAUACUUGUAAAUUACAAUUUAAUCAUACAUUUCACUUAGAUUAAUCGUACUUUUUCACAUUCCGUAAUAUCAUCAUAACCUCAAACUUGAAUAUGUUACUGUUCCUUCGAUUAAAAACCCCAAAAAUGUUAACAUUUUCACAUUCAGUUAUACACUCAAUCCACGUUUAAUUAUAUACGGCUAAUUAGAUAUACUUAAAAUUAUCGAAUUUCUAUGUUUCAUGCAUGAAAUGAUCUAUCUCCUGAAUUUUCAUUAACAUAUGGUGAUUGGAAAUGCAAUGCUUACCUCCAUAACGAUGCGUCCAAGCGGCUGUCCGUCAGCAGCCAUAUCAAAAAAUACACGGGGAAGACCCAUUUUGCCCUUAUUGCUUUUACUGCUAUUACUUACGAAA